AAAGCGCAUAAAAUGUAAGAAAAUAGCCCCGAGUAGAAAAACGUCCGUCGCUCUCCGCAACAUCUCCCCGGGACACGCCGCCCAGGAGCGAUCAUAGUAUUGAUCUCUGAGCUAUCUCCAGAGCUGGCCACACUCCUUGUAGCGUCCAAAGAACAGAGACCUGACUGGCCGGACACACAUCUCUGCUGCAUUUUCAUAUUCUCCAAAAGUCCCCCAUUAAAAAGCUGAGCGGGGAACAAGGGUACAGUGCCAUGUACUGUAGCAGAGACAAUCCCCAUCUGGAAUCCUGUCUCCGCGAGUCUCCUGGAAGGGCACAAAACAAAAGCCCGACACAACAACAACAACAACCACCACCAACAACCCUCCGAACUCCAGCUUUUCUUCCGGCGGGGAGAAAACCGCGUGAAAAACGCCCUCCCAGCGGACCCGCCGUCCGUGGGUCCCCCGCCGUCGGGGGGAGCCUGUGCCCGCC